UACGUAGGGUGCGAGCGUUGUCCGGAAUUAUUGGGCGUAAAGAGCGUGUAGGCGGCCAGAUAAGUCCGCUGUGAAAACUCGAGGCUCAACUUCGAGCUGUCGGUGGAAACUAUUUGGCUAGAGUCCGGAAGAGGAGAGUGGAAUUCCUGGUGUAGCGGUGAAAUGCGCAGAUAUCAGGAAGAACACCCGUGGCGAAGGCGGCUCUCUGGUACGGAACUGACGCUGAGACGCGAAAGCGUGGGGAGCGAACAGG
rnacentral:rRNA from 1 species